AUAUUAUUAUCUGAAUCCUCAGUUCACUUCCUAUGUGGCAGGUUCAUGUUGUUUUGGCGGCGGGGGCGGCUCAGGUGGGCAUUUUUUUUUAAUCUGAUCAUAUAUUAUGAAUCGUAUAUUUCUGAAUGAAAUAAACGAAGUGGGUAAUAUGCUACCUAUCUCUCGAAAAAAAAAAAAAAAAAAAUUUUCAACCCGUCUUGCCUCAUG
rnacentral:lncRNA from 1 species